rnacentral:lncRNA from 1 species
GAUCCGCCACAAAUACAGAGAAUCCACUGUUCAUACGGACAGAGUGUCCCCUGUAUUUGCACGGUGUCGCACAAGUACAAGAAGUAACCCAGGUACAACCACAACCAAAUGAAUAUAGAAACGACUAUGCAAUUAUUCAUUCACCAUUCACAUCACAGUUAUACAUUCAAAAUUUAAACAUAAAUCCACAGAAAAUUCUUUUGAAAACUGUUUCCUACACGGAAACCUUUAUUUUUUAAAAACGCCACCACGAG